rnacentral:rRNA from 1 species
AUGCACCUACGGGGCGCAGCAGUCGGGAAUAUUGCGCAAUGGAGGAAACUCUGACGCAGUGACGCCGCGUAUAGGAAGAAGGUCUUCGGAUUGUAAACUAUUGUCGUUAGGGAAGAGAAAGGACAGUACCUAAGGAGGAAGCUCCGGCUAACUACGUGCUAGCAGCCGCGGUAAUACGUAGGGAGCGAGCGUUAUCCGGAUUUAUUGGGUGUAAAGCGAGUGCAGGCGGUU